rnacentral:rRNA from 1 species
UACGAGGGGGGCAAGCGUUGUUCGGAAUUAUUGGGCGUAAAGGGUGCGUAGGCGGCGCGGUAUGUCUCUUGUGAAAUCUCCAGGCUCAACUUGGAGUCUGCAAGGGAAACUGCCGUGCUUGAGUACUGGAGAGGUGAGUGGAAUUCCCGAUGUAGCGGUGAAAUGCGUAGAUAUCGGGAGGAACACCUGUGGCGAAAGCGGCUCACUGGACAGUAACUGACGCUGAUGCACGAAAGCUAGGGGAGCAAACAGG